rnacentral:rRNA from 1 species
UACAGAGGGUGCGAGCGUUAAUCGGAGUUACUGGGCGUAAAGGGCGCGUAGGCGGUUAGAUGAGUGUGGUGUGAAAUCCCCGGGCUUAACCUGGGAAGUGCAUCGCAAACGGUUUGACUGGAGUAUAUGAGAGGGUGUCGGAAUUUCCGGUGUAGCGGUGAAAUGCGUAGAGAUCGGAAGGAACGUCGAUGGCGAAGGCAGGCACCUGGCAUAAUACUGACGCUGAGGCGCGAAAGCGUGGGGAGCGAACAGG